rnacentral:rRNA from 1 species
CCCCGUGGAGCUUUACUGCAACCUGAUAUGGAAUGUUUGUACCGCUUGUACAGGAUAGGUAGGAGCCGAAGAGACGUGUGCGCUAGCAUACGAGGAGGCAAUGGUGGGAUACUACCCUGGCUGUAUGCCCAUUCUAACCCGCCACGCUUAGCGCGUGGGGAGACAGUGUCAGGUGGGCAGUUUGACUGGGGCGGUCGCCUCCUAAAGAGUAACGGAGGCGCCCAAAGGUUCCCUCAGAAUG